UCCAGGGCAUAUCCAGACUUACUGUUUAAGCUGCUCCUCUCCUGUGCUCAUACCAGCUUGACUCUAAACUGGUUUAAGAAAAUCCUAUCUGGACUGAGGCAUUUUGGCAAUAGUUUGCAAGGUAUUCAGUCUGGACUGAGGGCUAUUAUUUCCUCCUGUUGGUGGAAGGUUGUUUUUGGAGCAAGUGGAGAUCAACAGAGGGCAAUGUUGUCCAUUUCGGCCCUCCAGUAAUGGUUGCCAGCCAGUUCUGAUGAUGAGGCACUCAGCUCCUUCAGCUGAUAGAAUGGCUUCCUAUGAAGAGACACUUGUCCUCUCCCCUGUCCACUAAUGUGAUUACAAAUCUGCUCUGAAGAGUUGGGAACUUUCCACAGCAGAUCUGAGAAGCAGAGAAGAGAGGAAGGAAGUUACAAUGUGUGACUAGAACUGUCCUUACACAAGGAGAUGUGGAGUUCCCCUGAAGCUUCUGAGGGAGCCCCAAGAUUUCCAGGAGUGCAGAAGCUAUUUCAGAAAGAAAGCCAUGCAGAUGAAAUUCCUCUAAAUGGUUCCUUGAAGACUAAGCGUGCUCAUGAGGACAUAAUGAGUUGGGAAAAAAGAAACGGACUGUGCUGUAAUGUGGGUAUAUGGCACUGGUGGUUAAAGGUCUAUAGCAGCCCAGAAGCUUCAGACAUGUUCUGGUGGAUCAUCACUGAAAUAAAAUACUAACCCAGCUUCUCAAAAAUAUACUUAUAAACAUGUAUACAUUUAUAAGAAUUGUAAGAAGGUUAUACAAUUACAAUAAUGUAUUUUAAUAUAUAAUGAACUUUUGCUUUUACAGGGAACCAGAAUAAGCAAGAUCUUGGAAUCAUAGAAAUAAAUUUAAUAAUUCAAGAUGUCUCUCUUGACUCAGCCCCAGAUUCAGGGAACAAAUCCCAGGCUGUUUUCUAGUUAUAAAUUGGAAUACUAAGACUAUACAUCGUAGGAUUUUUGUGAAACUGAAAUCAGGAUUGUAAUUCAUUCUUCAUGAUUAUUAAUACUACAACUGAACAUGCAGCAUAGGUUUAAGAGGCAUAGAUGCUCUUUAAAAAAGUAAUCAACAAUUACUUUAAUAAUAUAGGCCACCAUAAUGCUUUUCUUGAUGUGUGGUAUACAAAGAAAAUGCAAUCAGCAUUAAAUACAUUUGUCUGCUUUAUUCCUUUAUCCUUUCUAAAUGGUCCAAAGUGAUGGACCUUUUUACAGAAGCUUUCCCAUGCUUUCAACCUGCAAAGCAUGGCCACUUUAGAUUGUAGGGAGAUGCUCCAUGAAAGGUUCUAAAGAUACGCAAAGUGAAAGCCAAAAGAAAAAAGAAAAAAAAAAAACCAACAACAACCUGCAAUAAAAGAAAAAUGUUUCUCUUAGGUGCAGGCUUUACGAAACAAUUAAGCAAUAACGAAUGCAUUAAGUAAAUGACUGAGAGAGAGAGAGAGAGAGGGAGGGAGGGAGAGGCUGUGUUGCAGCACUAUCAGAAAGAAGCAAAAGAACAUCAACAUCACUUUCAGAGUGUUGUCAUUAGGCAACUUCCAGGGGCCUGAAGGUCGCAUUCGACAAAGGGUGGGGUCAGUGCCCCUUGUGGGAGGGCUGGGAGCUUUGAACAGUGAACCUAGUGCCAUACGCACUUCCAAGUCUUAGGAGGUGGAGAGCUGCGUUAGUUUAGGCCAGCAAAAAAUCAGAAGUCUGGUAGGACCUUUUCCAACUAGCGCAGGUUAUUAAAAGGCCGAAAUGCACAAAAGCUUACGCCUUUUAAUAGGUGUAAAAGGUGCUACCAAACUCCUUUUGGCUUUUUGUAAGUCAUAAUUUUGCCCAUUAAACUUCCCCAGGCCUCCGAAUUAAGAAAUGGGAUGCUGGUAGGCUCCGUUUGGCACCCUUUUUGCAUCCCUCUAUUACAGGGGAAAAUACAAAAGAAAAAGGCAAGUAUAGCAUCCAAAAAGCACUCCAAUUCAUACUCAUGUUGAGACUUAACACAAGGCAGAUUUUGGGGACUGGGUCAAUCGCCUGCUGGUACUCAUUGUGUUCCAUCCCAUUUUAAUUAUACAAGACCAAAAGCCAGGGCUCCACUUUGUACAAGAGCACUAAUGACAUGUUGACUCACAAAUAGCACAUACAGUACUCCAAGGCCUGAUGGGAGAAGCAGGCUAUGAGCUAUUUUUUUCACAUACAGUGAUUCAUUUCCUAUAAAAGAAAAAAAAAAAGACAGUUCCAUCUGUUCUCAGCUCAUAAUUAUUGAAAGAAGCAUGAUGCUGGUGAUGAUUUUGCAUACGGAGGUGGCAAACCUCAGAUAUUACCUUUCCUUUGAAGCAUCGAUUUUGCUUUCGUAAUGAAGCUCUUGAUAGUGCCAGACUCACCUCUCUUAAUUGACAGAAAUGGGAGCCUGGGCCCUCCAGAUAUUGAAUCCAAAUACCCAUCAGCUAAGCCAG